GAAGAUAUAAUUCAGAAAUAUGCCGCCAUAAAAUACACUUCUAUUCAGCCGUGCUUAUGUUGCUAUCUUGCCGACUGGCCCGACUGCAUCAUUUAUCACUACAGACACUAGUGUUUCAGUCAAGACAUCUGAUUCGACUUUCCGUAUACUCGCAAUUAAUAGUAAUCUCGGCACAAAGUCAAAGUAUAACUAUAUUAAAUGUUCCAUAUGGUCUCCUAUAUUAGCUUGUAUUCGCUUUUUUGCAUAGAAAUACUUUCAAAAUCUUAAAACCUUAAGUAUUUCUGCUGUACAAUAUGUGACAUACAUUUGCUGGACAUCAUAGUAUG